GUGGCGCCAUGAAGGUGAAGGCUGAUGCGCUGCCUGGCUGAGGUGGGAUCCUGAGGCCUCUCCAGUUCGCCAAGGGUGC
rnacentral:miRNA from 10 species